UUACUCCCACUACACCAACCUCCUCCCCCACCAUCUCCUCCGUCGCCACCCUGCUCCUCCCACACCAUCUCAACCGUCGCCGCCCUGCUCCUCCCCCACCAUCUCUUCCGCCGCCGACCAUCUCCUCCGCCGCCGGCCAUCUCCUCUGCAGCGGCGAGACCUGCUCCAUCUCCUCCCCUGUGCUAGACCUGCUCCAUUUCCUCCCCCACUAUACACCCACACAGGUAUGUCAAAGAUUCUCCUCACUAAAUGGGAGAGAAACAACAAUGGUCAAACGACCAUCUAAAAUGCUUAUUAGAGACAUGUAUUGAAG
rnacentral:lncRNA from 1 species